UCCCAACCCUGUGUCACAGAAACAUGUGCUGUAUUGACUCAAGGUGUAAUGGAUCUAGGGCUGUGCAGGGUGUGCCUUGGUGAAAAUGUGUUUGCAGGCAGUAUGCUUGGUUUACCACUGCCAUUCAUUGCCAUUCUCCAUUCUCUAUUAACCAGAGACACAAUACACUGCGGAAGGCCGCAGGAAACCCUGCCCAAGAAAGCCUGGGUAUUGCACAGGUCUCCCCCGACUGAGACAGCUUGAGAUAUGGCCUCAUGGGAAGGGAAAGACCUGACUGUCCCCCAGCCUGACACCUGUAAACGGUCUGUGCUGAGGAGGAUUAGUGAAAGAGGAAGGCCUCUGUGCCAUUGAGAUAAGGGGGAAGCAUCUGUCUCCUGCACGUCUCUGGGAAUGGAAUGACUCAGUGUAAAACCGACCAGACAUUCUAUUCUGAGAUAGGAGAAAACCGCCCUAUGGCUGGAGGCGAGACAUCAUGGCGGCAAUACUGCUCUUUACUGCACUGAGAUGUUUGUGUAAAGUCAAACAUAAAUCUGGCCUACAUGCACAUCCAGGCACAACACCUUUCCUUAAACUUAUUUAUGACACAGAGUCUUUUGCUCACAUGUUUUCCUGCUGAACUUCUCCCCACCAUCACCCUAUAGUCCUGCCACAUUCCCCUCUCCAAGAUGGUAAAGAUAGUGAUCAAUAAAUACUGAGGGAACUCAGAGGCCAAUGCCGGUGCAGGUCCUCACUUGCUGACCGCCGGUCCUCUGGGCUCACUUUUCUCCCUCUGUACUUUGUCUCUUUUCUCAGUCUCUCACCUCCACCUUGUGAGAAAUAUCCAUGGGUGUUGGAGGGACAGGACCCCUUCACAAAGUGGUAGAACUAUGGGCGUGAGCCACUGCACCCAGCUACACAUUUACAUUAUAGCAUCUUGACCUUCGGCUCCCCAGCUGCCUUGUGACUCGGUGUGUGUGUGUGUGUGUGUGUGUGUGUGCAUGCUCGCGUGUUGUGACAGGCAAGAAAAAGCCACUAGAGCAUCAUCGCCACUGGCCUGGUAGGAGGAGGUUGCCCUUGGGCUGCAGUUCACUGUGCUGUUUGCACUCUUGAUCCUUGGAAGAAUCUUCCUGAAGUCACGGAGCCUCCAGCUCCUCUGGAACAGAACUAGUUGUGUAGGAGUGUGUCCUUCAUGCCCUCAGGUCCCUGACCUUCUCCCCACCCUUCCUGAAGGGAAUCCAGAACCCCUGACUCUGAGCUCAUCACCUGCUUGUGGCAAAGUCCCUGCCCAUAACGGCCAAACUGGGUCCUGGUGAUGUGCAGAGCACGGAAGACCCAGGAGCUGGAGUAAGGCAGUGGCACAGGUGAUAAAAGUGGGGAUGCCUCGGCACUGCCUGAGGACACAGGGUCUGGCCUGUAAGGCUUUUCUGACCCUAGUGAGGCCUUCUCUUCUUAUUUUGACUGAAAUAAAUAGCCACAGGAAGUUCAGAUCAAUUAGAGUUGAAAUUUCAAGAAGAAAUGUGGGACCAUCCUCACACUUGCCCCAGGCCCUGAGUCUUCCCUGAGGAUGCCUCAGCAUCUGAACUAUAACCCCAGAGUAGGUGCUGCAGUUGUCCUGUGGCCAAGAUGAGAACUGUGCAUCCUUCAGUGAAGGGAGACACAAAAUUUUCAAAAUAACCCAUGCAGAAAGGUGUUUCUGGGUGGGCACGGUGGCUCCCGCCUAUAAUCCCAGCACACUGCUAGGCCGAGGCAGACAGAUCACCUGAGGUCACGAGUUCAAGACCAGCCUGGCCAACAUGGUGAGACCCUAUCUCUACUAAAAAUACAAAAAUAGGAGCAGGUGAGUUGGCUCAUGCCUGUAAUCCUAGCACUCUGGGAGGCCGAGACAGGUGGAUUACUUGGGGUUAGGAGUUCGAGACCAGCCUGGCCAACAUGGUGAAACCCCAUCUCUACUAAAAAUACAAAAAGUAGCUGGGCUUGGUGGGUGUCUGUAAUCCCAG
rnacentral:lncRNA from 10 species